rnacentral:rRNA from 1 species
AUUGAACGCUGGCGGCAGGCCUAACACAUGCAAGUCGAGCGGAUGAAGGGAGCUUGCUCCUGGAUUCAGCGGCGGACGGGUGAGUAAUGCCUAGGAAUCUGCCUGGUAGUGGGGGAUAACGUCCGGAAACGGGCGCUAAUACCGCAUACGUCCUGAGGGAGAAAGUGGGGGAUCUUCGGAACUCACGCUAUCAGAUGAGCCUAGGUCGGAUUAGCUAGUUGGUGGGGUAAAGGCCUACCAAGGCGACGAUCCGUAACUGGUCUGAGAGGAUGAUCAGUCACACUGGAACUGAGACACGGUCCAGACUCCUACGGGAGGCAGCAGUGGGGAAUAUUGGACAAUGGGCGAAAGCCUGAUCCAGCCAUGCCGCGUGUGUGAAGAAGGUCUUCGGAUUGUAAAGCACUUUAAGUUGGGAGGAAGGGCAGUAAGUUAAUACCUUGCUGUUUUGACGGUACCAACAGAAUAAGCACCGGCUAACUUCGUG